rnacentral:siRNA from 1 species
GUAUACAUUACCGCCUCCCUUGC